rnacentral:lncRNA from 1 species
CCCUGCCUUUGGUUCCGAUGCACAGCUGGGUUUGGGGUUUCCUGGUCUGGGCCGUCCUGGCCUCUGAAGGCCACCACAGAUCAGGCCACACCGAUUCUUAUACUGAGGGCCACUGAAAGAGGAGACGGGACAGCCUCUGGCAGAAAGACGUUCUCCGGCAGACAUCACAUACAAUAUUUUUAUAAUGAAUGGAAAGACUUGGUGGCAGAAGUCUCAAGACAAGAAGACCAAAAAGCAUGCAGGAAAACAGAAACGGUUGAAGUUAAAUGCCGGUAUCUAAGCCAGGUGGUGAGCCCAGCCACCAGCACCUAAAGCUGUGACGUGAGGUGCUUCUCCAUCCAGACGCGUGGAAAGGCAUUUGGAUUUCUGGCUGUGAGGUGCACCCUAAAAAAUGUACCUUUUCCUCUCAAUUUUGAAUGGACCAAGAAAACAGUUUUGACCACAGAUUGCUCAUAUGGUAACAGCAUUAAUGGCUAAUACAGGAGGCUUAGCAUGUUUCCCCAGAGACUAACCUGACAAAAUAAUGGAUUGAUUUAUUUAUUAAAACAUUGGUUCGUUUUUUUCAGCCAUUCAUUGAACAGAUAUGAAUUGAACAACUAAUAUCCAGGUGGUAUUAAAAUACACGAGGCAGUCAGAAGUAUUUGAAUCAGGCAUGGCUAUCACAGGUUUCUGAAGACAAGCAAACAGCCAGCUGAAGCUCUCUGGUAGUCAAUUUAUGCCUCUGUGUCUCCACUGCUAAAGGGGCCAAGGGUCUGAGGCUUGGGGUCCAGAGAAGAAAGGAGGGAAGAGGAAACUUAUGUUGGUCUUUCAAGAGCAAGAGAGUGGCCAUUAUAGCUCAGGCUAUUCUUGCCCCUACAUUGGAAGGCAGGGGCCGAAGAGAAGGAUGCUACCUUCCUGUCUCCUGGAAGGGGGUUCCUGAGGCUGGAGGAGGUUGCCCUGCAGCUUCGUGUGUGACCACAGGGGUCCCUCAGGUGCUGUCCAUGCCUUCCCAUGUCACUUGAAGGGGAUGCACACCUUACGUCUGGGAAUGUGAAAGGGGCGAUGGAGGAGCCCAGCCAAAAG